rnacentral:tRNA from 1 species
GGGGGCAUGGCUCAGUGGUAGAGUACUUGCUUACUACAUUCAAUGCCCUGAGUUCAAAUCCCAGUGCCCACU